GCCUAAGGCCCUGUCCCCCUGAAUUCACCAGAACCACUUGCUCUCAGAAGCUAAGCAGAAUGAGGCUUAGUUAGUACUUGGAUGGGAGACAGGGAGAUAGUCUCCUAAGCCU
rnacentral:rRNA from 1 species